UGAGGAGUUGUUAUUUGCCAUGUGUUUCCAGUAUGCCUUUUCUGCCUUGGAGAUAGCUGACCUUGGACUGAACCUGCUAGAUUUGGGAUGCCCUACUGAGGUCCUGAGUCACACAGAAUAUGCUGAAUCAGCCUGCUGCAGAAAGGCAGGUCUGCCCAUGCCCUACCAGGUCCCAAGUCAAACGGAAGACACCAAUCACCCCGCUGCAGGCAGGCAGCCACCUGGUUCCACACUACAAAGACGCAGAGGACACCAGACCACCAG
rnacentral:lncRNA from 1 species